rnacentral:rRNA from 1 species
AUUGAACGCUGGCGGCAGGCCUAACACAUGCAAGUCGAACGGUAACAUUUCUAGCUUGCUAGAAGAUGACGAGUGGCGGACGGGUGAGUAAUGCUUGGGAACUUGCCUUUGCGAGGGGGAUAACAGUUGGAAACGACUGCUAAUACCGCAUAAUGUCUUCGGACCAAACGGGGCUUCGGCUCCGGCGCAAAGAGAGGCCCAAGUGAGAUUAGCUAGUUGGUAAGGUAACGGCUUACCAAGGCGACGAUCUCUAGCUGUUCUGAGAGGAAGAUCAGCCACACUGGGACUGAGACACGGCCCAGACUCCUACGGGAGGCAGCAGUGGGGAAUCUUCUGCAAUGGGCGCAAGCCUGACAGAGCGGCGUCAUGUGAAGGAAGAAGGCCUGAAAUAGGUUGUAAACUUCUUUUACUGAGUAAUGAAUACUGACAACGCAGUAAAAAAGUAUCGGCUAACUCCGUGCCAGCCGCCGCCGUAACAC